rnacentral:rRNA from 1 species
UACGUAGGGUCCGAGCGUUAAUCGGAAUUACUGGGCGUAAAGCGUGCGCAGGCGGUGAUGUAAGACAGAUGUGAAAUCCCCGAGCUCAACUUGGGAACUGCAUUUGUGACUGCAUCGCUGGAGUGCGGCAGAGGGGGAUGGAAUUCCGCGUGUAGCAGUGAAAUGCGUAGAUAUGCGGAGGAACACCGAUGGCGAAGGCAAUCCCCUGGGCCUGCACUGACGCUCAUGCACGAAAGCGUGGGGAGCAAACAGG